GAUGAACGCUAGCUACAGGCUUAACACAUGCAAGUCGAGGGGUAACGAGAGGAAAGCUUGCUUUCCUUGUCGACGACCGGCGCACGGGUGAGUAACGCGUAUCCAACCUGCCCCCAACUAGGGAAUAACCUUGCGAAAGUAAGACUAAUACCCUAUAAUUUCCUCAGAUGUCAUCUGACGAGGAAUAAAGAUUUAUCGGUUGUGGAUGGGGAUGCGCCUGAUUAGCUUGUUGGCGGGGUAACGGCCCACCAAGGCAACGAUCAGUAGGGGUUAUGAGCGGAAGGUCCCCAAAAUUGGAACUGGGACACGGUCCAAACUCCUAGGGGAGGAAGCAGUGAGGAAUAUUGGUCAAUGGGCGGAAGCCUGAACCAGCCAAGUAGCGUGCAGGAUGACGGCCCUAUGGGUUGUAAACUGCUUUUAUACAGGAAUAAAGUUAGCCACGUGUGGUUAUUUGUAGGUACUGUAUGAAUAAGGACCGGCUAAUUCCGUGCCAGCCGCCGCGGUAA
rnacentral:rRNA from 1 species